rnacentral:lncRNA from 1 species
UCCGUAAUGAGGUGGUGUUAUAAACGUGUCAACCAACACAUCAAAAAUAUUAUGCCAGGGUUCAAGAUGCUUGCCUUCAUGGUGUGGAAAGGCAGGGUGCACUCCAAAUCUUUUGAAAGCUUUCUUCUCUUCAAAAAUCCUAUUUUCAAAAAUAUGCAAAUAACACAUAUUUCAAAAACAGUACAAAAAGGUUGUUUGGAAAAUUUUCAAAUAAAUCUUAAAAUAAACUAGACAGAAUUUGAGAGAUGUAGGAAAAAGAAUCAACUCAUUUGGAGUUAUAUUUAAAAAGUUAUAGGCAGUCAAAGUUGUGGUCAAAAACUGUUUUUAAAAAUAAAACAAAAAGAAAACGUUUCAGCCACGAAUACGCUUUCUAAGUAGGGAUUACGUACUUGGGGUUUUUACGCUUUCACUUAACACGUGGACCGGUGCGGGGGUCACUGACAGUGGGCCCGCCUGGCCCACUGGUCAGGUUUGACCAGUCUCUCCUCCCUCCUCUUCCUCUGUCCGAGCCGAUGCGGGGCUCCGGCGACGCUCGCCGGUGAACGGUGGCACCGUUCGAGACACCGAGGGUGGGGAUGGAUCUGCGGUUCGAGGGCAGUCCUUCCGGUGGUUGUCAGUCAGGUGGGGAUGAAGGGAGUCGCCGGCGGCGAGCUUCGCGGCGGCCGGUGGCUUCGGGAGUUUUGGGCGCUUGAACCGUGGUGGCUCCCGGUCGGGUUUGAGUAGCUGGGCGGCUCCGCAAGUCGAAGUGGAGUCAUUUGGUGGCGUUGGACGGACGGGAGGGGCUCUGGUUGCGGUGAAUGGAGCUGGGACGUGGCGGCGGCCGAACCGGCCGGAGUUGGGGAAGACAGCUUUCCCCCGACGAUUGCUGGCUGUGGGGGUGCCAUGGGGGUGGCCUGAGGUCGCCUGAGUGCUCGGAUGAGCUCGGGGGCCUCUCUUUAUAGUGCAACGAGGUCGGUUCCACGACGGUGGAUGAGGAUGCCGGCGAACCGCCUCUCUGUAGUUUGCAGGGCGACGUGGAGGCGAUGAGAGCUAGCCGACGAGCGAGGGGAUAAGCUUGCGCGGCUCCCAGGGGCAGGUGGCGAGCCGGGGUGGCUUGGGCGGCGCCGACCAUGGCAGGGCGCACUGCGGACGCCGGCGUGCCGCCAAAAGUGCUCUGGCGGUGGCGCUGUAGGGCGCCAGGGUGGGUUGGCGUGUUGUGGCGAGAAGGGGAGUGCGUGGUGUGGUUCUGUAGUGUGGGCCAAAACAGGGGCGUGAUGCGGCGGCUCAUGUGCGCGGCUGCAGUUGGCGUGCUCUGGGCGCGCCCAGUGCACGCCCACCAGCUGCUCGGCGAAAUGCCAUGGCAUGCUAGGUGGCUCCGUUGGAGAUGGGGGUUAGCAGGUCUAGGCUUGGGCUUGCAAGGAGAUCAGUGGACAAGUUUGAUGGGUCAGAGGAUCAGGUUCACAACACAAACUUACACUCAUGCCAAAACUGUUCAUGCCCACAGGGUGUUUGACAAAAUGCCAGAGGAAUCUAGGCAGGUCUUGGAGUGGUCAAAAACUCCAGAUGGUGGUCUCUUUAGAUGCAUAAGAAGGUGGUGAAGUUAGUUUGCCAAAUGAAGAAACUUGCUAGUGCAAGUUUUGCAAAACCUCAAUUCUGGACAGGAGGUAAAUGGCAUCAUUUCAUGAACCAAAAAUGAUCCAAAGGGUGCAUGCUCCUGGACUUAGGGGUUUUGCAGGGAGGACUACAAGUAGGAAAAGGAAUCAAGAGCCAAAGAGCAAGCAAAAAUAUGGUUGCUGUACAAACCAUCAAGUUGGACCAGAAUGAAAAUGAGGUUGAUUCACUAAAAACUUUCAAAUAACAACACUGGGUUUUUGUAUAAAGUUGAAUCAUAUGCUACUACUAACAUCCCAUAAUUUUGGUGGAGGCUAUAAAGAAAUAUUUAAAUGAGUUGUAGUGCAAAAUUGCACUCUGGACCAGAGAAGAAAAUUGGGUGUAGAGCUCAAAAUAUUACAAGAAUAAAAUAUAUUUUUGCAUAAAAGUGAUUUAAAAACAUCACAUGACAUCUCCAAAUUUUGGUUGGAACUUUAAGUGAAUUUAUCAAAUGGUUGUAGUUCAAAUAUGGCCAUGUAACCUUGGAAAAACCAUUUUUCAAGAAAAUAAAGAUCAAGCAAAUUAAUUAUGUAAUUAGUUCUACUAAUAAAAUAAAAGUUUUUAUUGAGAGGUUAAACAAGUCCAAAAACAUAUUUGAAAAGUUUUCACUUUGGGGAAAAACUCCAUAAUAACAAGGGAGAAAAAGGUUCAAAAAUAAAAAGGGAGCCCAGAAAAUAAAAGUUUUAAUUUCCUGGCAAAAUUAAUUAAUAAAACAAGGCCAAAAAUUUGGGGUGUCACAACACUACCCCCCUUAAGAAAAAUCUCGUCCUCGAGAUUUGAUAAGGGUUGUUUUUUUUCGAAAAUUUCUUCCCUGUUAGUUGGAACCAAAAGCUUACUCACAGCACAAACUUUGUGUGGCCGGGGUUGGUUUUUUGGUACGCUCGAAGUAAAAUGCAACCGUUCACCGACGUACACAAGCAGGGUAAAAAAAUCGAGGCGCUCAAGCAAACAACAUUCAAUCAUGGCGACACACAAUUACAGGGCGUGGUCGUACUAAGGCUCGGUAUUAAUCGAGUAAAUUAGUCUACCUCGUUCAUAUCCAAGCGGGCGUGCCUUGUGGAUGUCGAGGCUUCUCUUCGGGUCUCACUGUCGGGAUUAGCUGGAGUGGGUUGAGGGGCUGCAGGCUCGGGGUAGCGAUGAUGACCAUCUCGGGGAUUGUUGGCCACAACCCCGUUGGAGUGUGCUCCCAAGAGGCGACGAAGCACUUCUGGGGUCAUCGAAGCACCUUGGCCGACGCCUGGGGCAGAUCUCAGGGACUCGAUCGGGUGUCCAAACAGUACGACUGGGUUGUCGGCGUUGGGCUCGUCCUCUUCUCUCGCUGGGGCUCGACGAACCAGCUCUCCACGAGCUGCGAUUAGAUCAAUGGUGAUUUGAUCAAACAGUUCCUCUAGUGCACCUACAUAGCGCACUAAGUGCAACAAUGCAGGAUCCGUUUCGUGAUCUCCGUUGGCAACUUGGGGUGGUCUACCAUACCCUUCACGUCUGGGGUAGUAGUGGAACGAGCGACAGUUAACUCUGGGCAACAAGUGCCGGAGAUGAACUAUAGCUUCUCGAGCAGCUAGUUGGAUGGCUUGUGGCUCAAAGGAAGUCGCCCUUCAAGUGAACCUGUAGGGGCGCUCGGGUGCUAGACCCCUACCAUAAAUGUGCACAGUGGCCCAGAAUUGACGGCUCUCACCGCUCAUGGAUCCUUGGUACACAACAUAUUCUGGGGGCUCUUCUAACACAUAGGCACGACGGGUGAGGUUUGCGAGUAUGGUCACAAAGCCUCCAAGGUUGGUUGCUGUGGUCUCAUUGUGCAUGAUGGGUCCAGGCAUUUUAGCUCGGUUUGGGUAGAGGUUGUGCAGUGUUGGGUUGAGGCUAGCAUGCCCUUUUAUAGAAAAGGGGACGGAGUCUUCCUUCGCACGCUUGCGAAAAGACUAUUCAGGAUUCAGUCACUGGUGCAUGAGCGACAGGUUGGGUUGAUAGGUUGGGCACCGACUGCCAAAAGGUGUCGGGUCACGGUGUGGCUAUCUUGCAAGGGAAGCUUGACUGGGGUUUGGCUGAGGUCUGGUGGGUUGGUUUACCUAAGUUUAUUGACCUGGCUAAGAUAGGAUUAGCCAAUGGUCAGCCUGGCUCUGAUACCAAGUUUGUCGCGACUGGUUUUCCGGGCUUUAAUUUCCAGAAAAGGGUCACUGUGCUCACCAGCCCCAGGAUUACUGUUAGCUGAUGAGGCACCAACUUGUUACAGAAAUUUCCAAGCAAAAGUGCAAAAUAUGUAGUACAAGACCAUUGUGGCCUAUGAGUACAUCAAAUGGUUUCUAGUGGUUGAGGGCGGAAGCGGUUUGUGGAUCACCAUGGUCUAUGGGACUCCAUUUCCCACAGGAACAGCUGACCAGGUUAACUCCUAUCUUCGCGAGGCUGCUAUCACCGUUGCUUAGGUCCCGAGGCUGUCAUCACCACGCUCCUCUCCAAGCAAGCAAUCUGGCCAAGACAAUAGCCAGGGACAAGCCAGUGAGUACUUUGAAUGUACUCGCAAACAUUUAGAACACAGGUAUAAUAUAAUUGAUCAACAUACACUGAAAUAUUCUAUGAUCACAUCGUCAGUCAUAAAUAAAAUCUUGAUGCAUGCAAGCAGGUUAUUUAUAUGCAACCGGAAUAUGCAAUGACAGAAUAGAAAUAAAAUGUACCGAUCGGAUGUCUGAAGCGACGUCUCGAAAGGAUAGUAAAAGUGAGCAUGCCUCAAUCGGGCGUCUUACCGACACCACGUAAGGGGCUUAUAAAAUAAAUAAAAUAACAAGCAUGCCACAGUCGGGCAUCUGAGCGACGCCACAUAAAGGGCUUAUAAGAAAAAUGAAAUAACAAACAUGCCACAGUCGGGCGUCUGUGCGACGCCGCAUAAAGGGCUUAUGAGUAAAUGAAAUAACCACAUGCCACAGUCGGGCGUCUGAGUGACGCCACAUAAAGGGCUUAUAAUCAUAGUGAAUAUCCAGGAGGUGGUACCGUCCCAGGGAUAUUCAUUAUUUCGAACAAUGCAAACGGUUAGUCCACAAUGAUAACAAUCAUAACCAUCAUAUAUCACAUGUCAUCAUCAAUAUUCGAGUUUAGUGGUUUCUCCUCCGAAGACCGACACUAAGACCGACACUUGACCCAUCCCACACUGUAAUCCUUAACCAUGGACACGGCUAUUCGAAUAGGUUUAAUAUCUCUGCAGAGAGUGUACUCUUUACCCACGAGUAACGGAUUCCUUUAGUCCAUCGGACUAAUUCCGUCUACGGUCUUUUAAUUGAAACACACCUGACUUGCACACACCAGCUUUCACUCGUUUCUGGAAUCACCCAUGACACCUGUUAAGCAAAACUCUAAGUGCGGAGGCUACAACCUCGCAUAGCAUGGGAUCAAAUUUCUAUCGCGCACUCUAAGGGGUGCCCCCCUCUCGGUCCCAACCGGAUACACCCAUGCCCCCGGACCAGGUGGCAUGCCUACUGGCUACAACCGGUAUCUUCCACCAUGGCCUCUCUGUAUGGUGUGUGCCAAGACAAGGGUUAACAACUUACUGAACCAUACCCCACCUACGGUAGGGACCAGUGGCAGUACGAAACAAGUAUGGGGGUUACCGGAACAAGACUCGAUCUAUGGCCGACUCAGGAGGCUUAUUAGUUCCCUGCAUGACAUGUAUAUCAAAUAUAUUUCAACCGACGAAAUCACCAUCCAUUAUACCUUACUAUGCCAUACCGGACAUAACCGUCCCGACGGGGACCGGCGACAAGCUCACUCCUACCCAAGGCAGAGGCUUUCCCGGAUUCCUUUCCGGCAUGCAUACAAGGCACAUGAGGAUGAUUACCAUCACAAGUAUAUUCAUUCCCAACAGCAAGGAAAAUCACUGAUAUGCAUCCAUGCAAAAUGAUCGUAUCACCACAUGAAAUAACGAGUUCUCCGUAAUGAGGUGGUGUUACAAACGUGUCAACCAACACAUCAAAAAUAUUAUGCCAGGGUUCAAGAUGCUUGCCUUCAUGGUGUGGAAAGGCAGGGUGCACUCCAAAUCUUUUGAAAGCUUUCUUCUCUUCAAAAAUCCUAUUUUCAAAAAUAUGCAAAUAACACAUAUUUCAAAAAACAGUACAAAAAGGUUGUUUGGAAAAUUUUCAAAUAAAUCUUAAAAUAAACUAGACAGAAUUUGAGAGAUGUAGGAAAAAGAAUCAAGUCAUUUGGAGUUAUAUUUAAAAAGUUAUAGGCAGUCAAAGUUGUGGUCAAAAACUAUUUUUAAAAAUAAAACAAAAAGAAAAC